GACGAACGCUGGCGGCGUGCUUAACACAUGCAAGUCGAACGGACAGGCCCUGCUUUUGUGGGGUGCUCUAGUGGCGAACGGGUGAGUAACACGUGAGUAACCUGCCCUUGACUUUGGGAUAACUUCAGGAAACUGGGGCUAAUACCGGAUAGGAGCUCCUGCUGCAUGGUGGGGGUUGGAAAGUUUCGGCGGUUGGGGAUGGACUCGCGGCUUAUCAGCUUGUUGGUGAGGUAGUGGCUUACCAAGGCUUUGACGGGUAGCCGGCCUGAGAGGGUGACCGGCCACAUUGGGACUGAGAUACGGCCAAGACUCCUACGGGAGGCAGCAGUGGGGAAUAUUGCACAAUGGGCGGAAGCCUGAUGCAGCAACGCCGCGUGCGGGAUGACGGCCUUCGGGUUGUAAACCGCUUUCGCCUGUGACGAAGCGUGAGUGACGGUAAUGGGUAAAGAAGCAACGGCUAACUACGUG
rnacentral:rRNA from 1 species